CUGCCUCCUUCCUUCCAUGCCCAGGGAUCCACACGUCCCUUUCCAGGCCAAGGGGAAUCUCUGAGCACAUUCAGGUGUACAGGUGCCCACCCUGGGGCAGAACCCAGCGGGGCCACUUACCCGGACCUCCUUGUAGAGCCGCAAGCAGCUGCUGUUGAGGAUGAAGUAGCGAUCGUGGAAGCCACCUGAGGGCAGGCCCAGGCCCAGGAGGCUGCGGUCCUCACGGAACUUCAUCAUG
rnacentral:lncRNA from 1 species